GAUGAACGCUGGCGGCGUGCCUAAUACAUGCAAGUCGAGCGAACAGACGAGGAGCUUGCUCCUCUGACGUUAGCGGCGGACGGGUGAGUAACACGUGGAUAACCUACCUAUAAGACUGGGAUAACUUCGGGACACCGGCGCUUAUACCGGAUAAUAUAUUGAACCGCAUGGUUCAAUAGUGAAAGACGGUUUUGCUGUCACUUAUAGAUGGAUCCGCGCCGCAUUAGCUAGUUGGUAAGGUAACGGCUUACCAAGGCAACGAUGCGUAGCCGACCUGAGAGGGUGAUCGGCCACACUGGAACUUAGACACGGUCCAGACUCCUACGGGAGGCAGCAGUAGGGAAUCUUCCGCAAUGGGCGAAAGCCUGACGGAGCAACGCCGCGUGAGUGAUGAAGGUCUUCGGAUCGUAAAACUCUGUUAUUAGGGAAGAACAAAUGUGUAAGUAACUAUGCACGUCUUGACGGUACCUAAUCAGAAAGCCACGGCUAACUACGUG
rnacentral:rRNA from 1 species